AAUAAAUAAGUAUAACUAGUAAAGUAAAGAAAGGCUAUAAAUAAAGAAUAGCUAUGAACAGAAAAGAGAAUUGCAAGUAGAAAAGAGUUGCUGGUAGUAAAGAAUGAAAAAAAAGAAUAGUCAAAGAUAGAGGAUGACUGAAUGUAAAGAAUAAAAAUUAAAGUGAACUACUUGCGUAACUACAGGAGUUGCAUAUUGCAUUUUGGGAGGCAGGA
rnacentral:lncRNA from 1 species